GUUCCUAAACAACCAAAUAUCACGUCAAUAUCACAUAUCAUGUCCUUAGAAAAUGCAGUUUUUUACAGUUUCUUCACACACUGAACGUGACGAUAGUAUUCAGAUCAAAGUAUCCCGCUUUUUGUUUUUUAAUCAAAACUCUGGUUUUAGUGGCCUAUCAGUAAAAUUUUAAAGCUGGCACAUAAUUUGAAAUCGGAACUUUCAACAACAACGGAAUUGAAAUGGAGACUCAGCAUUGCUACAGCUUGUUGCUAUUUAAGUGUGCUGUAGCAAAAGGAUUUAAUCAGGUGUGUCCUUAAAUAUUGCCUAUUAGUGUUUCCUCUUAUAUUAAGAUCUGAAUGUUUUCUAAGAAUUACAAUUUCCCAGCAGUUACGCAAAUGAGAUUAAAUCAUCACUUGCAACUGUGUAUAAAAAGCUCCGCUGUCAGUACUGCAUUAUCACAAUCAUCCACAUCUCUGAGACAGUCUGCUGAAGUUGUGAAGACCUGAUGGUGAAAUAACUGAAACCAUGAUCAAGGUUGUGUUUCUGCUUGGAUGCCUGCUGAGCCUUGCUCUGGCAAAUCCUAAUGACUCAGCACACGAGCGCGAUGCACGUUCUUCAUCUGGGUAGGGGACUAUUGGGACCCUAAAUCGUCUUACCCUGCUUUUACCUCUUCUACAGAAUCCAACACUUCUGCAGAAUUCAACACUCCUUGCAGCUAUUCUUGCUGCUAUACGAUAAGCUGCUUCUUAACCAACAGCUAUUACACCACAAAGGAUGAAUUGAAAAUGAACAAACAAUGAAUAAAAACCUAUGUUG
ensembl:lncRNA